GUGUGCCACCUGUACGCUCCGGCGCUGGGCGCGCCGGCCGCAUCCAGCUGCCGCGCGCUUGCCACGUUUCGUUAGCC
rnacentral:sRNA from 2 species